CAUGACUUUGGUCUCCGUCCUCAUCUGGACUCUCCUCUGCUGCUGCUUCACAGAGUCCAGAGGCCAGAUCACAGUGACUCAGCCUGGAGCAGUGAGCUCUGCUCUGGGAGCCUCCGUCUCCAUCAGCUGUCGGGUCAGUGAGGAGGUUUAUGGAUCAGAUAGUUUAGCCUGGUACCAACAGAAAGAUGGAGAAACUCCUGAACUCCUCAUUUACGAUGCUAGCACUCGAGAAUCAGGGAUUCCAGAUCGUUUUUCAGGCAGUGGAUCAGAGACUGACUUCACUCUGACCAUCAGUGGAGUUCAGGCUGAAGAUGCAGCAGUUUACUACUGUCAGAGUUAUCAUUAUAUCAACAGUCAAGCUGUGUUCACACAGUGAAAAAGCGUCGUACAAAAACCUCCCUCAGUC